rnacentral:rRNA from 1 species
UACGUAGGGACCAAGCGUUGUUCGGAUUUACUGGGCGUAAAGGGCGCGUAGGCGGCGCGGUAAGUCACUUGUGAAAUCUCUGAGCUUAACUCAGAACGGCCAAGUGAUACUGCAGUGCUAGAGUGUGGAAGGGGCAAUCGGAAUUCUUGGUGUAGCGGUGAAAUGCGUAGAUAUCGAGAGGAACACCUGCGGCGAAGGCGGGUUGCUGGGCUGACACUGACGCUGAAGCGCGAAAGCUAGGGGAGCGAACGGG